rnacentral:rRNA from 1 species
UAGUCCACGCCGUAAACGAUGAGUGCUAGAUGUUGGGAGAUCUAAUCUCUCAGUUUCGAAGCUAACGCGUUAAGCACUCCGCCUGGAGACUACGAUCGCAAGAUUAAAACUCAAAGGAAUUGACGGGGGCUCGCACAAGUGGUGGAGCAUGCGGUUUAAUUCGAAGCUACGCGAAGAACCUUACCAAUCCUUGACAUGGUGGUCGCGAUUCUGGAGACAGUAAUUUUCAGUUCUGCUGGACCACACACAGGUGUUGCACGGCCGUCGUCAGCUCGUGUCGUGAGAUGUUGGGUUAAGUCCCGCAACGAGCGAAGCCCUCAUCCUUAUUUGCCAUCAGGUUAUGCUGGGAACUAUAAGGAAACUGCCGGUGUUAAGCCGGAGGAAGGUGGGGACGAUGUCAAGUCAUCAUGGCCCUUACGGAUUGGGCUACACGCGUGCUACAAUGGUGUUUACAACGGGAAGCGAUACGGUAACGUGGAGCAAAUCCUAGAAAAAACAUCUCAGUUCGGU